GCGCUCCAUGGAAAGGGCCCUCCCUGGAGCAGUUCAUGAAGAGCUGCAGCCUGUUCACAAGGACUCACACAGGUGCUUCAGCUAAAGACAUGGCCAUUUAUUUCCCAUGCUGAACCUGUUUACUUGUCUCCCUCAGCUAUAAGGAGGGCAGAUGAAGUAUCAAUCUACACUGUGGUACUCCUAUUAGAUGACCUAAAAGGGAUGAAGAGCUAUUCCUAGGAUAACUGGUCUCCAUGGCAUCUGUUUUCUAGAGUCUGGAAAGUAUAUGCUGGCUGUAAAUCCAAAUCGCCUGAUACAUUUUAGCAACUAAUAUGAGAAAAAUAAAGGCUCAUUGAUGUGGAGGUGCCUAAUUGAUGAAGCAUGAACUCCAUCCUUGUGGGAAGAUGAGGCAUUUGAAAAGUUUAACCUCGCAUGGGCAGAUGAAUUCAGCUGUGAUCUACACAAUAUGAAGAACUCAGCAAGAUUAAAUAAAAUCAGCUGCUUUGUCAGAAAUACCUAUGCAACCAACUGGCAAAAUAUGUUGAGAGCAUCAGGUUGGAGUAAUGUUUGGAAGAAAUGAACCUUUUUUAUUUCCUGUCGCUUUUCCUAUCUGAUUUAGAAACUGCUGUCCCAUCCCUUGAUUCAUUUUACCUUCUUUCCAGAAUUUUUCUCUGUAAUCUGGUAUGUAAUUAAAUGUGUCCUUUCAGCCAUUCCUUAUUCAUCUUUUAACAUUCCCAACAUUUAAUUACCUGUAGGGAAUAGAAGUACGUGGAAAGUAUUAUUAAUCUUUCUCAAUUGUAAUUGUGAUUUAAUUUGAGAUGACAAUCUCUGACAAAAACUCAAAAAUUAAAUCUACCCAGGACUAAAACUAAAUCCAAGAUAUCUCGUGGAGUUUACCACAGUCAAACCUUAAACCAUUACU